rnacentral:rRNA from 1 species
GAGAGUUAGUAGUAUCGCGUCUAGGACGAACGCUGGCGGCGUGCUUAACAAAUGCAAGUCGAACGAAGUAGAGAGCUUCGGCUCGCUACUUAGUGGCGGACUGGUGAGUAACACGUGAGUAACCAACCUCAGUACAGGGGGAUAACUCAGAGAAAUUUGAGAUAAUACCGCAUAGUACAUGAGACCGCAUGGUUGAAGUGUUAAAGGAGAAAUCCGGUAUGAGACGGACUCGCGCAUCAUUAGCUAGUUGGUAAGGUAACGGCCUACCAAGGCAACGAUGAUUAGCCGGCCUGAGAGGGUGUACGGCCACAUUGGGACUGAGAUACGGCCCAGACUCCUACGGGAGGCAGCAUUGGGGAAUAUUGGGCAAUGGAGGAAACUCUGACCCAAGCGACGCCGCGUGAGCGAAGAAGAUCUUCGGGUCGUAAAGCUCUGUCAUUAGGGACGAGAAGAAGACGGUACCUAAUGAGGAAGCCCCGGCAAACUACGUGCCAGCAGCCGC